CUGAACCAGCCAAGUAGCGUGAAGGAUGACUGCCCUAUGGGUUGUAAACUUCUUUUAUACGGGAAUAAAGUGAGGCACGUGUGCCUUUUUGUAUGUACCGUAUGAAUAAGGAUCGGCUAACUCCGUGCCAGCAGCCGCGGUAAUACGGAGGAUGCGAGCGUUAUCCGGAUUUAUUGGGUUUAAAGGGAGCGCAGACGGGUCGUUAAGUCAGUUGUGAAAGUUUGCGG
rnacentral:rRNA from 1 species